rnacentral:tRNA from 1 species
GGGGUUGUGGCUCAGCGGUAGAGCGCUCAUCCAGCAAGUGUGAGACACUGGGUUUGAUUCUCAGCACCA